UCUCCGUAGGUGAACCUGCGGAGGGAUCAUUACUGAGUGAGGGCUCCGGCCCGACCUCCAACCCCAUGUGAACCAAAACCUGUUGCUUCGGGGGCGACCCUGCCUUCGUGCGAGGCGCCCCCGGAGGCUCAUCAAACACUGCAUCCUUGCGUCGGAGUAUUAGUAAAUCUAAUCAAAACUUUCAACAACGGAUCUCUUGGUUCUGGAAUCGAUGAAGAACGCAGC
rnacentral:misc_RNA from 1 species